AGAGUUUGAUCCUGGCUCAGGAUGAACGCUAGCUACAGGCUUAACACAUGCAAGUCGAGGGGAAACGAUAUUGGAAGCUUGCUUCCGAUAGGCGUCGACCGGCGCACGGGUGAGUAACGCGUAUCCAACCUGCCCAUCACUUGGGGAUAACCUUGCGAAAGUAAGACUAAUACCCAAUGACGUCUCUAGAAGACAUCUGAAGGAGAUUAAAGAUUUAUCGGUGAUGGAUGGGGAUGCGUCAGAUUAGCUUGUUGGCAGGGUAACGGCCCACCAAGGCUACGAUCAGUAGGGGUUCUGAGAGGAAGGUCCCCCACAUUGGAACUGAGACACGGUCCAAACUCCUACGGGAGGCAGCAGUGAGGAAUAUUGGUCAAUGGACGAGAGUCUGAACCAGCCAAGUAGCGUGCAGGAUGACGGCCCUAUGGGUUGUAAACUGCUUUUAUAAGGGAAUAAAGUGAGCCUCGUGAGGCUUUUUGCAUGUACCUUAUGAAUAAGGACCGGCUAAUUCCGUGCCAGCAGCCGCGGUAAUACGGAAGGUCCGGGCGUUAUCCGGAUUUAUUGGGUUUAAAGGGAGCGUAGGCCGGAGAUUAAGCGUGUUGUGAAAUGUAGACGCUCAACGUCUGCACUGCAGCGCGAACUGGUUUCCUUGAGUACGCACAAAGUGGGCGGAAUUCGUGGUGUAGCGGUGAAAUGCUUAGAUAUCACGAAGAACUCCGAUUGCGAAGGCAGCUCACUGGAGCGCAACUGACGCUGAAGCUCGAAAGUGCGGGUAUCGAACAGGAUUAGAUACCCUGGUAGUCCGCACGGUAAACGAUGGAUGCCCGCUGUUGGUCUGAAUAGGUCAGCGGCCAAGCGAAAGCAUUAAGCAUCCCACCUGGGGAGUACGCCGGCAACGGUGAAACUCAAAGGAAUUGACGGGGGCCCGCACAAGCGGAGGAACAUGUGGUUUAAUUCGAUGAUACGCGAGGAACCUUACCCGGGCUUGAAUUGCAGAGGAAGGAUUUGGAGACAAUGACGCCCUUCGGGGCCUCUGUGAAGGUGCUGCAUGGUUGUCGUCAGCUCGUGCCGUGAGGUGUCGGCUUAAGUGCCAUAACGAGCGCAACCCCUCUCCUUAGUUGCCAUCAGGUUAAGCUGGGCACUCUGGGGACACUGCCACCGUAAGGUGUGAGGAAGGUGGGGAUGACGUCAAAUCAGCACGGCCCUUACGUCCGGGGCUACACACGUGUUACAAUGGCA
rnacentral:rRNA from 1 species